rnacentral:rRNA from 1 species
UACGUAGGGUCCGAGCGUUGUCCGGAAUUAUUGGGCGUAAAGAGCUCGUAGGCGGUCUGUUGCGUCGGCUGUGAAAACCCGGGGCUCAACUCCGGGCCUGCAGUCGAUACGGGCAGACUAGAGUUCGGUAGGGGAGACUGGAAUUCCUGGUGUAGCGGUGAAAUGCGCAGAUAUCAGGAGGAACACGGUGGCGAAGGCGGGUCUCUGGGCCGACACUGACGCUGAGGCGCGAAAGCUAGGGGAGCGAACAGG